rnacentral:rRNA from 1 species
GACGAACCGUGCGAACGAUGUUCGGAAUCACUGGGCUUAAAGGGUGCGUAGGCGGGUUGUCCAGUCUGGGGUGAAAUCCCACGGCUCAACCGUGGAAUUGCCUCAGAUACUGACGACCUCGAGGGAGGUAGGGGAGAGCGGAACUGUGGGUGGAGCGGUGAAAUGCGUUGAUAUCCACAGGAACUCCGGUGGCGAAGGCGGCUCGCUGGACCUCUUCUGACGCUGAGGCACGAAAGCUAGGGGAGCAACCGGG